GCCGUGGGCCUCGCCCUGCCCCGCGGCGGGAACGCGGCCGUGAGGGUGUGGGGUGUAGGUCCGCCAGGCCUGCAACGGCUGCCGAGGGUCGUGGGAUGCGCUCGCCGCGUCCCUGCUCAGGCGGAGGGAGCCCGGCCCGCCGCCAGGGUCUCGAGUCCGGGUCCAGGCAGGCGUGGAGGUGGCGGGAACGGCGCACCGCCCGGGAGUAUGACAACUUUUCAACUUGAGUGCACACACUGUCCCCGGAAUCCCGCGUUCCAGGGAGGAAGCGCCUUUGACAGCGCGCGCCGGUUCGUGGGGCCCGACGGCGUGGGCCUGUGGUUGCGGACCUGGCGGAGAUGCGCGUUCGCUUCGAUUGUAGGCCAUUCCUUUUAGGAGCUGAGAAAGGAUCCGUUUUUACAGCAUUCUCGACCUGUGAUUCUUGGUGGGGGAAACUAGUUAUGUGGAUAAAAAUACAGUUAGCAAAAUAAAAAUGCCAAUUUUACAUUUCCUUAAA
rnacentral:lncRNA from 1 species